rnacentral:misc_RNA from 1 species
GGAUAAUUCAAAGCCCUUGAACAAGGGAUUGUUUAAACCAAAUUAUAGUUUUUGACUGAAUUAUCAUAUUUGAUAAUUCAAGCACAUACCCAUUACAGGAAGCGAAAAAUUCGAAUCUGGGUUUUAGUAUGUGCAAUGAAAAUGGUGUUUUGAUUGUAUCAUUUUACUUUCUACUUUCUCUAUGUUUUUUAGCCGNNUCCUUUUCAUCCUUUUUUUUUUCUUUGUUUCCUUUGGACUUCUAUGGAGGACGGCUUAGCG